GAUGAACGCUGGCGGUGUGCCUAAUACAUGCAAGUCGAGCGAACGGACGAGGAGCUUGCUUCUCUGAUGUUAGCGGCGGACGGGUGAGUAACACGUGGAUAACCUACCUAUAAGACUGGGAUAACUUCGGGAAACCGGAGCUAAUACCGGAUGAUAUUUUGAACCGCAUGGUUCAAAAGUGAAAGACGGUCUUGCUGUCACUUAUAGAUGGAUCCGCGCUGCAUUAGCUAGUUGGUAAGGUAACGGCUUACCAAGGCAACGAUGCAUAGCCGACCUGAGAGGGUGAUCGGCCACACUGGAACUGAGACACGGUCCAGACUCCUACGGGAGGCAGCAGUAGGGAAUCUUCCGCAAUGGGCGAAAGCCUGACGGAGCAACGCCGCGUGAGUGAUGAAGGUCUUCGGAUCGUAAAACUCUGUUAUUAGGGAAGAACAUAUGUGUAAGUAACUGUGCACAUCUUGACGGUACCUAAUCAGAAAGCCACGGCUAACUACGUG
rnacentral:rRNA from 1 species